UCAUGAUCGGUACUCUUACCGGUGCUCAGUGGGGAAUCUAUGACGCCUUCAAGGUCAUGGUCGGACUGUAAGUAUCUCAUCCUCUACGCAAAUCCAUCACUAUGUAACGGUAAACAGCUUCUGAGGAAGUACUAACAAUUGGCAAUCCAUUUUCUUCCAGCCCGACCACCGGCGGUGCUCCACCAGUUGCUCCGGUAGAGGAAGCAGCGAAAGCCAUCGCUUGAUUGAUUUUUCCUGCUACGACGAUGACGAUGUAUUCCCGGAUGAUGGGGUAUUGGUGGAUGGGGACUCUAUCAAUUACUUGAGUUUAGCAACCGAAAUCUUUUGUUAUUGUAGCAGAUGGUUAUUGUGUCAUCAUUUUGAUGAGAGGAACUCAUUAAGCAGGCGAAAUAGGCCUUUUUUGUCCCCGGGAAGUUUGAUGCUUGACAUAAUAAGUUUUAGGACAGCAAGGCUGUUAGAGCGCAGGUUUUGCCAUCACCUGUACUGAGGAAUUCCCAUAUACUACUGUUUACCUCCAAUUCUCUAUGCUGUUGGUAUCGUGGCAUGUUGUGUGUUAGUUUCUGAAUGGGUGUGUAGUAGUUUUCUUUUCUUCGUGCUUGCAAAAUCAUUCCUUGGCCUUCUGAGAUAAGUCAUGCAGUGCUCUUGUUUUGUUCGGGCACACAGGUCAGCUAGAGUAUUAGCGACAGGUUGUACACGUCAACAGUUAUUGCUGUUUGUGUAAUGCCUUAAGGAAGAAACCAGCUGAUUUUUAAUUCAUAUCUCGGCAGUCUCGGCCAAACUGGUAUUCUUUACACCAGGUUAUAUUGCCAACAUACUCUUCUCGCAAGUAAUUCUACAAGUCUUUGUUUGAAUGUAUGAUUAUCUUUAGCCUUUAGGGCCAUAGCAAAUAAAAAACAGAGGAAUAAAACAAUAUAGGCAAAAAUAUACAUAGAAAAAUUCUAGGGUUGCAGGUGCAAAAUAGAGGAUUGGUGGAAACGCAUUAAUUUACACAAUUUGUUUUUUGUGUGUGGGUUUCAACAGGAAUUCUAUUCCAUAGUAAGGCAACAUUUCAUCUAUACAUAGGAAUAGAAAAAAGGAAUACUAAAAAUGGAUAGUCAAAUUGAAUACGGAAAACACAAGAAACCUAAAAAAGAUGGUCAAAUUAAGGUUAAAAGUUAAACAACUUUUUUGAUUUCCGAACGUCCUAGUGGCGUCCGACCUACAUCGAGUGCAGCUAUGCUUUUUGGCCAACUUUGUCACAUUUUUUUGCACCCCUCGGUCUAUCUUUGUAUAUUGACCCGAUUUUUCUGGCCCCCGGCCCAUCUCUGCUUGUUUUUCUCUCAUUAUACGGGUCAAUAAAGAUUACUCGCUGAGAGUUGAACAAAAAAGGUGUAACAUGGGAAUCAAACACAUCACCUCGUUGUAUAGGAUCAACCAACCCCGAUAACCAAAUCAACUGAAAACUAAUCUAUUUAAGCUGGUUUUUCUACUGUAUUAGAAUAUAGUUUUCUUUCUUUCUUUUCAUUGGGUUCCCUAGUGUUUCAUCGGCGUUCUACUUGAUGUGAUGGAAGUAGGCAUCUUCACAAACACCCCUAAGAGUGAUGAAGGCCAUUUUGGUGGUAGGAUCAAUGAGGCCUUUACAUGAGAUGCAGCAUGAAUCGGUAACUUCUAUACAAAUAACAUGAUAAUUUUACGCAUCGCAGACUUGAUAAAUUAGGCACAAAUAUUGUGGUAACUUUGACUCGGGAAAAAAUGUUAAAGUAUGUUUCGAUAACUUUUGAAGUUAUCAUGGUAAUAUACAAACCGCGGACUUGAUAAAUUACGUACAAACACCGCCAUAACACUGACCAGGGAAGAACAAGUUGUUAAAAAACAUAAUCCAGCAACUUAAGUGCAAAAUAACAUGAUAAUAUAUGAACAACAUACUUGAUAACUUACGUACGAGCCAAAGGAUGUUACCAUAUUGAAAUUUCCGGCUUAGAUAGGCUAGACUUUGCUAGCUGGCAAAACUUUUGCCUCUGUGUCCACUAAGAAAAAAAACUUUUGCUUCUGUGAAGCGUGAACCGUCAGAUGAAAAUGAACAAUCCAGAUUCAUACAUUUCAUUUAUCUUAUUUCACACGUUUCACAGUAUUAUUAUUAUUAUCAAGCAUGCUCUUAUUUUCGAUGUGUUUUAACCCUCACAUGCUCUUAUUUUCUAUUGGUAAAUUCACACAAAUGCUCUUGUUUUGGUCAUUAUGCGCUCUUGUUUCCACGGGAGAAUCAGAAUCAAAUACUACGUAGUCUGAUCUCCCCCCAGACCGGAAUCAUGAGAAGCCACAAGUAUUUUAUAAUGUACUCCACCGUACCUCGCCAGCUACAAGAUGACGGCGCGCACCAGCAGCAGAUGAAGCUCCCCUGAUACGACUCCCCCGCCAGUUCGCCCGGGUUGUUGGGCACGGCUGGGCUGAGCCACUGAACCUGCAGGGCUGCGCGAACGGACGCCACCGCCGCCGGUUACACAAGCCAAGCGUAUCUCGCGUGAGUCAUGCAGCAUGACACCCGGCGCCCGCGGCCGCCAGAGCAACAGUAGCUGGCUGUAUGUAAACGCGUAGGGCGAUAUUGCAUUUGUUAAAUAAAUUAAUAAAGUAAUAGCACGUAUAAGCAAGGCUCUUGCGUGCGUCGUAGGUGUCACCGAUCGGGAGAUAAUGUAUUGGCAUGUGAAGGAAGGAGAUCGGCCGGCCGGCGGCCCUGCCUCGCCUUCAACCGGCAAUCGUUCUCUCAAAAAAAAAAACCGGCAAUCGUUAAGAUCCAUUUGAUUUAUCUGCCCCAGGACCAGAACCAUAAGGAUGAUGUAUUAAAAAUGAUGAAACCAACGGACGUAAACAAAGCAUCGUAGCGAGUCUAAGAUGUGAUGAUACAUUUGAGCUUUGGUCCGGCUUAAGGGAACCCAGCAAAAGCUUAACCUAGUUGUGUGUGUGGGUGUGUGUGCCCACUAAGUCCUAUUGGACAAAAUCAACAUUUUGGCCACAUUAGGCGGGCUAUUUUGUUGGGUUAUUAGCGGCGUAGUAUAAUCCUAAGAAGAAUCGAUCAAAAUUUAGUGAAGACUUAAUAAUAACACUAAAUUAGUACAUAUAAAGAAUGAGUAAUGCGGAAUCAGCCUUCGUUGUUAGGAGUUUCGGGAUGGAACUAGCAAACGAGAAUGGAGAGAGUAGAAAUUACUCCCCCUGUUCCGAUGAAUAAGACGUAUUCCAUUUAGAUAAGACACAACCUUGACCAACAAUUACUCUUUUAACAUUUAAUUUAUGUGAUAUAAAAUCACUAUCAUAACAAAGUAUUUGAAAUACAAAUCUAGUGACACAAAUUCCGUGUCAUAUAACCUUGUAUUCAUGGAGUAAUUAUUGGUCAAAUGCAUGUCUUAAUGCAACAAAAUACUCCUUAUUUUUAGGAAUGAAGGGAGCACCAAGUAAUACUUUCUUGGGAUUUGAUUAAAAAUAUGUUUCAAUUCACGAACUUGUUAAGGAAACGACUAUCAAAUGGAAAUAACCCUUGACCUCUUCUUUUUGAUCGCUCCUCCUGGAGGAAGAAGAACACGGCGAAAGAUAUGAGGUGCAAUCUAUUUUUCAUUCGUUCAUUCGAAGAAUUUUAAAGGGUUAACUGUGGUUUGAUGAAAAUAGUUAUUCUGGAUAAUGGAGGCUAAAAGUUUAGAUGGGUUGGUUAACUGUGCACGGGUAUGAGCUAUGGAUAAAAAAGGUGUAGUUAACGCCCCACCUAACAGAUAAACAAGAAAGGAGUGCUUACCGCCUUAAGUGGCACAUAAAAACAAGUGUAACAUAAACACACAUGAAGCAAUAAAGUUGUUUACGUUUUCGCCUUAGUGCAACAUACAGCCAAGUGCAUUCGAUUUUUACAAAAAACGUAAGCAAUAAGGCAAAGACAUGUUCGAGUUACAAAAUUAACCCUUUGGAGUACAAAAGCACAAAUAAUUGCACCAUAUCGAGGGCCACUUUGAUUCACACGAUUUGUAGAACACAUAAAUAGAGAAAAUACACGAGUUGUCAUCUUGAGCACUGCACGAUUAGUAUGUGCGUUUGAUUGUGCAUUGAAAAAAAAGUAAGAUUGUUGACAUGAGGUUGAAGUGGAUGAAAAAUUGCAUAUGAAGACUAAUACAAAAUGAAUCCUAAGAAGAAGAAAAACUAUGGAACCUAAUCCUUUGAAUCGAACAACCCAAGAAACCUCUAAAAUUCUCUCCCGCAAAAAAAAGAAACCUCUAAAAUUCUUUUAGGAAUCCCUUGAGUUGGUGUGCCUGCAACAUGUCCAGACUCCACCAAACUUCCCUUACGUUUGGUUUCGACUGUCCGCAAACAUUUGGUGACUCCCGUUGGAUGACAGAAAAUGUCUGGGCCGGUGAUCUUCUAAAAAAUGUUCGUCCCGGUGAUCUUCUAAAAAAUGUCCGUGUCGGUGAUGCGCGUUGAAGUUGCCCUUAAAUCUACGGUAAUGCUAACUCGCGAACGUUCACUGAGAAGAAAAUUGCCAGCAAACACAUUCGCAUCAGUUUUUUUGAAAAUAAGGGGAUUUCCCUCGAUUUCAUUAACGAAACCAUAAAUCUGUUGAUUACAGCCAGAACGCACCCAUCACCACCCGAUCCAACCCUGCCUGCGCUUGAAACACCCCAGUCCUCCCUCUCACAGGAAGGAAAAGCAUAAAAGAAAUAAAGGACAACUCAUGCCCCUACUGUUAUGAUAGCCACAUUUAGCAUCUAACAACCUCAGCGACUCAUCCAUCCGCAGAUUCAUCAGACAACAUCACUAUAUUUUUCAUCCCCACAUUCACCCUCUUGCUUCACCUCCCUUCUUCGAUCUUCAUUUUUCACCCAGCAAUCCUUGGAAUCCAAGAUGCCCUGCUUCGUCGCGCUUGAAAGAUAUCAUUGGCGACUCGUUCCAGCAGUCCCUCACCUGCAAGUUACUCCAGUCAUUAAUCCAAUGUGUCAUCUUAAAAAUCACCACACUAGGAUCAGCAGGCCAGACAUGUUGAAAACAAGCCAGGUUCCUGGUUUUCCAGAUGCUCCAAAUUAAAGUAGCUACCCCUACAAAGAUCAAUUUCUUCUUUUUAGCCCCAAAGCUCCCCAUCCAUUUAUCUAGACAUGUUUCUAUGUCAUAAAAAUCACAUUGAACUCCUGCAAUGUAACUAACUACACUCCACAUGUAUCUGGCCAGGGGCAUUGAAAAAAGAGUUGAUCGAUAGACUCAUUACUACCACAAAAAAGGCACCAUUUCUCACAUCCCCCCCUCUAUGAAGUAAAACAUCUCUGGUUAGAAUAUUUUUCUUAGUAACUAACCAUAUAAACGUUUUAAUUCUAGGUGGCAUUUUGACUUUCCAUAAAAAUCUUUUUGGGCAUUUUUCCCCAACCUGCAGCACAGAAUAAAAGGAUUUGACACUAUAUUCUCCUGAUCCCUCCAGAAUCCAAGAGAGUUUGUCUUCUUCUUUAGUUAAAGUAAUCCUUUCAUGAAUCUUCAACAGCUCCUGCCAUUGAAUUGCCCUAUCUCCCACCAAAGCUCUUCUGAAUUUUAGUAGGAUAAGAUUAGAAGGCAGAACAUCAGAGACAAUAAUAUGUUGAUCUAGUGAAACACUAUAAAGAUCAGGUAUCUGAGAGGCUUCUGGUUCCAAUCCAGUUAUCUUCCCAAAACCUUGUUUUCUCUCCGUUACGUAGCUUGAAUUUACAACAAGUCAAAAAUAAGUUUUUGCAUUUCAUCACACCCUGCCAAAAGUGUGAAUCCCCUUGCUUUUUUUGAAUCUGUCCAAAGGUGCUUUUCCCAAUGUAUUUAUUCCAUAGAAUUCUUUGCCAUAAGCCCUUUAAAAAGUUUCCAUAGCCAUUUUGAUAAUAAGGCAAUGUUCAUAAUUUCCAGGUCUAAAAUCCCAAGGCCUCCCAGGGUUUUAGGUCUGCAUACUUUAUCCCACGCAACUAAGUGAUAUUUAUGUUUAUCCUCUUCCCCGCUCCACAAAAAACUUGCCCUGGGUCUAUCCAUUUUCUUUUAACUCCCUUUGGUAUCUCAUAAAAGGAGAGCAUGAAUAGAAUUAAGCUGGUGAGGGAAGAGUUAAUCAAUGUGGUUCUGCCCGCAAUAUUUUAAAACCUGCCCAACCAGCUCCCCAUUCUCUUCUCCAUUUUGGAAACAGAUGGAGUCCAAUCACUUCCCUUAUACCCUUUCUCAUCUAAAGGUAUUCCUAAAUAUUUAAAAGGGAUAUUACCUUUUUUACAUGUCAAUAUCUCUUCAAACAGUUUAGCCCUAUCAUCAUCCAUCCCAACACAAAUCACUUCACUUUUAUGAAAAUUAAUUUUCAGCCCCGACAUAAUCUCAAGCAAAUUCAAAAUUCUUUUCACAUAUUUUGCCUGAUCCAAAUCAUCUUGAAAUAGAAUGAUAGUGUCAUCCGCGUAUUGCAGAAUUGACACACCAUUUUUGUCGUGGAAUUGUCACGGCAGAUGUCCUCGGGUUAGGACUUAGUCGUGGGGCCAUCGCAAUUGGGAAGCUUGAAGGGGUUAAGUGGGACAAGGAACACGAGGGUUUAUACUGGUUCGGCCCCUUACGGUGAAGGUAAAAGCCUACGUCCAGUUCGAGGUGUUAUUGAUUAGGGUUACGAUCGCCAGGGAGCUAAACAGCUAUGCCCGGCUCUCGAUCAAAUUGUUGUCGUCCUUAAACCGCUGCCGGGUCGUCCCUUUAUAUAAGGAGGCUGACGCCCAGCAGCCCUUAGAGUCCCGGCCGGCUCAUAAGAGUGUCCGGCUCGGACUCUAAACAAUACUUGCCUUACACUACAAGUCUACUAUAACAAUGAUUGUAACUACGGGCUUUAAGCUAUAUCCGGGUCUCAGCCCAUCUCUGGCCCAUUAUCCUGAAACUUAGCUCCGGGCUUCUGGUAAUGAUCCUUGGAGUAACCCGUCCCUCCUGGCGGGUGACCCCCAGGUCUAUAUCCUCAACAUUAGGCCCCAGAUUGACUUGAGCCGGCUCGUGUCAAUCUUCAGCUCUGCAGACAGAAAAAUUCUCCGGCUUACCAUUCAUGUGAAGGUCAUAACGCGGAGUGACGUCAUCCUCUGGACUCCGGAUAAUCCGCCGUGACGUCAUCCUCCAUUAAGUCCGUUUUUUACUCCGCUAGAUCCGCAACGGAUCUUUGCUUUUACUGUCUUUGCGAAAAUCGAGGCGCCGUGAGGGGGAGAUAACCACGCCGUGGCCUCCUUGAAUCCCGCGCCCACUUAUGACUCGGCCUUAUAAAUAGGCCGGCCCGGCACUCUCUUCUCACACUCUCCUUCUUCUUCCUCGCGCUGCCGUUCCUCUGCCCGAGCUUCUGCCGCCGCCGCCGCCGUCGCGCCCCUGAUCUUCACCGACCCGGCCGCUGCAUCACCCUGACCCGGACCAGAUAACGGCGGCGACCUUCGCUCUUCCUCAACUCCGGUGAGUCUUCCCUGCCUUGCUAGAACAAAUCUGUGGUAUGGUUCAUCUUGUGCUCUUCGCGUUCUUCACCAUUGCCGCAAGUUUCGGUAACCCCUGUAGCCACUGCCCCCGUUGAUCUUAACUCUUCACAGACCCUUUGCGGUAACUGUUCGAGAUCCAUUCUAUCUGCAAAAAAUCCUCUUUUCACUACUUAAAAACCAUGUUCCACCUUAAGAACUUCUCCUGUUUCUGUUUCUUUAGGUCUAGAAAAUUUUCAUCUUGCCCGACCAUUUUGAUCCGAAAAAGUUACUGUAAUGUAUGAAAUCUGUUUUACCACACUUAGUAAAAACUGCAACCCUUGAAUCUUGGCGGCUUAUAUUUCCGACUUUAAAGAAAAC
rnacentral:lncRNA from 1 species